GACCCUGUCUGUGUGGGGUGAGCCGCGAGCGGGCCAUUAGCUGCAUAACGUUACAUUAGAGUCUAAUGUAACGUUAUGCAGCUAAUGGCAUUGAGCUGCAUUGAGCAAGCUUUGAUAUCGUUUUUGGAAAAAAAUGAAGCGGUCUAAACCAUCGGGAGCACAGGGACGAAAACGGAGAAAGGAGGAUGAGGAAAAGAAAGCAAAGUAUAGAGGUAAGUUUUCUCAUCUCAGCCAUUAACGUGUCAAACGAAAUAAAUUGCAUCAACUAAUGUUUCAUUGCAGUCACUUAGCUAUUGCUAGCUAACCCACCGUUACUUUGCUAGUUUGCUUUAGUAAACAUGCUAAUUACCAACCAUUUCAUUCGCAAAUUCUAAAACAACAACGUUUUUUAAUACUUAAAUAAUAUUUGCUAAAUUAACCUUAGAUUUUUCAGUAGCCAUAGAUGUGUAGAUUUGAACAAAAUCUAGUUUGGUUCUUACCGGGGCUUUUACUGCCUGAAAUAUUCAAAUUUGUUUCCAUGCUCAGUGUUUAGUGGCACCAAUGGUGAUAGUGGUGCUGUUCACCCUUCUGCACAGUUCAGGAAUAUACUAAAAUGUAUAUGUUUUCUUGUUUUUUUUUGCUAGAUGCACUCAGACAAUAUUUGCAGAGGCCAGCACCUGCUGAUCAUUCAUGUUCGCCUCUCUCUGAGCUUUCUGCAGGAGAAGGGACAUCCACUAGUACUCCAGGGACCAGUGGCACACAGGCCAACACACAGCCUGCAUUAGGUGAUGAAGAUGAAGGGACAUCCAGGACCACACCAAGCACUCUGGGCGCCAGUGAAACACAGACAGCUGAGACCAGGGACACACAGCCU